rnacentral:rRNA from 1 species
UACGUAGGGUGCGAGCGUUAAUCGGAAUUACUGGGCGUAAAGCGUGCGCAGGCGGUUCGUUAAGUCAGAUGUGAAAGCCCCGGGCUUAACCUGGGAAUGGCAUUUGAGACUGGCGAGCUGGAGUCUGGCAGAGGGGGGUGGAAUUCCACGUGUAGCAGUGAAAUGCGUAGAGAUGUGGAGGAACACCGAUGGCGAAGGCAGCACCCUGGGCUGAGACUGACGCUCAGGCACGAAAGCGUGGGGAGCAAACAGG